UACAGGGGGUGCAAACGUUGCUCGGAAUCAUUGGGCGUAAAGCGCACGCAGGCGGUUCGUUAUGUCGGAUGUGAAAGCCCUUGGCUUAACCGAGGAAGUGCAUCCGAAACUGGCGAGCUAGAGUACGAAAGAGGAUCGCGGAAUUCCCGGUGUAGAGGUGAAAUUCGUAGAUAUCGGGAGGAACACCGGUGGCGAAGGCGGCGAUCUGGGUCGAUACUGACGCUGAGGUGCGAAAGCGUGGGGAGCAAACAGG
rnacentral:rRNA from 1 species